rnacentral:misc_RNA from 1 species
GCAGGAUCAACCAGGUAGCAUUCAUCGCUGACAAUACCCGACGGGGCAUGCAAAUACCACGACGAGAGUCAAUCAGUUGGGACAAAAAUCACUCGUUACGGGCCAAGACGAGGCGAUGCCGUCGUACCCAAUGCACAUUCCGUAUCCGAGAGCUCAAGCGAGCGUUCGUGGGCCAAAACAAUUACCAUCGAAAUUCGAGUUACGCGAGACACAAACGACGCUUCAAGGUUCACCGCGUCGAAAGCCCAUAGCAAAACGGGCAAACGCCGAGUGAAUGAUACACAAUUUGACGGGGAAAUUCCAUAUAGUAAGCAUGCAACACAGGAAACCAUUAAAAAUUGGCGGCCAAGGCAAAGAUGCUCUUGUACCAUUAAAUGAAGAGGAACGCACGGCCGGCCGUCACUGCCACAACAAUGAUCCAACC